CUACGGAGGGUGCAAGCGUUACUCGGAAUCACUGGGCGUAAAGCGCGCGCAGGCGGGCUGAUAAGUUGGAUGUGAAAGCCUACGGCUCAACCGUAGAACUGCAUCCAAAACUGUCAGUCUAGAGUGUGGGAGAGGAAGAUGGAAUUAGUUGUGUAGGGGUAAAAUCCGUAGAGAUAACUAGGAAUACCAAAAGCGAAGGCAAUCUUCUGGAACACUACUGACGCUGAGGCGCGAAGGCGUGGGGAGCAAACAGGAUUAGAAACCCUAGUAGUCC
rnacentral:rRNA from 1 species